rnacentral:misc_RNA from 1 species
GACUUCUGUGGCUUUGGCAAACCAAUAAUGGAGGCUUUGGAUUUCAAGUUAGAAAAUCUCUGAGAAUUUGACUGGUGGUUAACAUUGGGAUUCAAGUUCGUGGAAUGAGAGUUUACUUUGGUGGAGUCCUUGCGCUCAAUGAAUGCGUUGCGAUCGAACCAGUCGAAUUCGGCGUCCUUGGAAAGCCAAAAAGAUUCAGGCGGGAAAUCCGGCGGGAUUUCUGGUGGAUCAGUCUCAGAUUCUUGAGGCUGGUGG